rnacentral:rRNA from 1 species
GACGAACGCUGGCGGCGUGCUUAACACAUGCAAGUCGAACGGAAAGGCCCUGCUUUUGUGGGGUGCUCGAGUGGCGAACGGGUGAGUAACACGUGUGUAACCUGCCCUUGACUUUGGGAUAACUUCAGGAAACUGGGGCUAAUACCGGAUAGGAGCUCCUGCUGCAUGGUGGGGGUUGGAAAGUCUCGGCGGUUGGGGAUGGAUUCGCGGCUUACCAGCUUGUUGGUGGGGUAGUGGCUUACCAAGGCUUUGACGGGUAGCCGGCCUGGGAGGGUGACCGGCCACAUUGGGACAGAGAUACGGCCCAGACUCCUACGGGAGGCAGCAGUGGGGAAUCUUGCACAAUGGGCGGAAGCCUGAUGCAGCAACGCCGCGUGCGGGAUGACGGCCUUCGGGUUGUAAACCGCUUUCGCCUGUGACGAAGCGUGAGUGACGGUAAUGGGUAAAGAAGCACCGGCUAACUACGUG